GACGAACGCUGGCGGCGUGCUUAACACAUGCAAGUCGAACGGAAAGGCCUCUUUCGGGGGGUACUCGAGUGGCGAACGGGUGAGUAACACGUGAGUAACCUGCCCUUGACUUUGGGAUAACUUCAGGAAACUGGGGCUAAUACCGGAUAGGAGCUCCUGCUGCAUGGUGGGGGUUGGAAAGUUUCGGCGGUUGGGGAUGGACUCGCGGCUUAUCAGCUUGUUGGUGGGGUAGUGGCUUACCAAGGCUUUGACGGGUAGCCGGCCUGAGAGGGUGACCGGCCACAUUGGGACUGAGAUACGGCCCAGACUCCUACGGGAGGCAGCAGUGGGGAAUAUUGCACAAUGGGUGGAAGCCUGAUGCAGCAACGCCGGGUGCGGGAUGACGGCCUUUGGGUUGUAAACCGCUUUCGCUCAUGACGAAGCUUUGUGUGACGGUAGUGGGUAAAGAAGCACCGGCUAACUACGUG
rnacentral:rRNA from 1 species